rnacentral:rRNA from 1 species
GACAUGCAAGUGGUAGGAACCGAAAGGCGACGACCUUCGGGAGCUUGCACAGGUGCUGCAUGGCUGUCGUCAGCUCGUGUCGUGAGAUGUUCGGUUAAGUCCGCUAACGAGCGCAACCCUCGCUGUGUGUUACAAGUGUCACACGGUACCGCCGGUCUUAAGCCGAGGGAGUGGGAUGACGUCAAGUCAGCAUGGCCUUUAUGUCCUGGGCUACACACACGCUACAAUGGCCAACACAAUAGGUUGCUAAGCCGCGAGGUGGAGCCAAUCCUCAAAGUUGGUCUCAGUUCAGAUUGCAGGCUGCAACCCGCCUGCAUGAAGAUGGAGUUGCUAGUAACCGCAGGUCAGCUAUACUGCGGUGAAUACGUUCCCGGGGCUU